rnacentral:miRNA from 1 species
AGGUCACAAUCAACAUUCAUUGCUGUCGGUGGGUUGUGAGAUGUGAGGCAAAACUCACCGAUGGAUGAAUGUCACUGUGGCUGGGCCAGACUUGG